rnacentral:rRNA from 1 species
UUCGCAAUGCCCGAAAGGGUGACGAUGCGACGCCGCGUGAGCGAAGAAGGCCCUAGGGUUGUAACGCUCUGUCGAGGGUUAUGAAAUAUAGAUGGGUUAAUACCCCAUUUAUUUGACAAAAGCCCAAAAGGAAGCCACGGCUAACUCUGUGCCAGCAGCCGCGGUAAUACAGAGGUGGCGAGCGUUGUUCGGUAUUAUUGGGCGUAAAGAGCACGUAGGUGGUUUUAUAAGUCAGGUGUGAAAGCCUUCUGUUCAAAGGAAGAACGGCAUCUGAAACUGCAGAUCUUGAGUGUAGGAGGGGAGAGUGGAACUUCUGGUGGAGCGGUGAAAUGCGUAGAUAUCAGAAGGAACGUCGGCGGCGAAAGCGACUCUCUGGCCUAUUACUGACACUGAGGUGCGAAAGUUAGGGGAGCAAACGGGAUUAGAUACCCCGGUAGUCCUAACCGUAAACGAUGGGCACUAAGUAGAGGGGUUUU